UACGUAGGGUGCGAGCGUUAAUCGGAAUUACUGGGCGUAAAGCGUGCGCAGGCGGUUUUGUAAGCCAGAUGUGAAAUCCCCGGGCUUAACCUGGGAAUGGCAUUUGGGACUGCAAGGCUGGAGUACGGCAGAGGAGACUGGAAUUCCUGGUGUAGCAGUGAAAUGCGUAGAGAUCAGGAGGAAUACCGAUGGCGAAGGCAGGUCUCUGGGCUGAUACUGACGCUCAUGCACGAAAGCGUGGGGAGCAAACGAGGAUAGAGUACCCCGGUAGAUC
rnacentral:rRNA from 1 species